GCUCAGUGGUAGAGCGCUUGCCUAGGAAGCGCAAGGCCCUGGGUUCGGUCCCCAGCUCCGAAAAAAAGAACCAAAAAAAAAAAAAAAUAGACUAUUUGACUAAGAUUCUAGAACUGGUGAAUGCCAUCAUACUUGAGUCUUUUAAAACUCACAAUCUAAGUUGGUAACAUAUACUAAUUUUUAAGCCAUCAUAAUUUAGUCAGAGGGUGAAAGAAGAGAGAUCUGAAAGGAGUGUCUACUCAAGUCAGUAAGUCAGAAGGGCCAAGCUACUGAAUGGCUACUUUGUAUUUUGUCUGUAGCCUUUCAUCACUCACAGCAAACUUGCCAAGACUCCUUCCCAUGAAUCCCUCUCAAGCAACAGAGUAAACAGAAGGCCAAACUGGUUUCUACAAAGAUCCCCGUUACUCAGAACUCUUGAAACUGACUGGAAUGGCAUCUUCAACCGAAUACCUGAAAUUAACACAGGGAGAAAGGAGGGAGGAAGGAAAUAAAUUGGGCACAAAUACUGGCAUUGUCGACAAGGCACCUGAAUGCUUAAUCACCAUCUUUAACAGCAGCUGCUGGAAACAUCUGAGUCUCCAUCCGUCUGUGCAAAGUAGACUCUUCACAACAGAGACAACCCACUGAGCCUGACCAGCACCUCACGGGGAUGCCGCGAGAAACAAAGCAUUUGACAAGAGAAGACCUAACUUUGUUGUUUAACAGGAUAUUAGAACUUUCAUAUAACUUGUCCUAAGUUCCAAAUAAUUAUGUAUGGUGCCCAUUGUUUAUAAGCAUUCACCAAGCUAAAAGUAAGUAUAUGCAAAACAUAAACCGAUAAAACUCUGC